UGAUGUUAAAGUAGAGAAUUCUCAUGAAAAGUCUUAUGUUCUUGACAUGUUAUUGAAGAAAGAGAUAGAGGAAAUGAUUUAAGUGACAAAUAAAAGAGAAAAACGAGUUUGGAUGAAUGGAUCCCCUAAGGCCGCACGGAUCGCGAGACGAAAGAUCUAGCCCCAUGACACUAGUGCUACACCCUAAUGCCACCGCCGCUCCUAGCCUCUGCCACCAUCAAUCGCUCCUCAACCACUACCUGCAAGGAAAAAGGAAAAAAAAAGGACAAGAGCAAAUACACAAAUAGUACGAAACAAUAGAAAAUAAUAUGUAAUGUAAUGGCUAUAAAAGCCAUGAAACAGAUUGUAAUGGGUUUUUUCUAGAAGAAAUAGAAAUCGAACAAAAAAAGCCAAAAAAAAAAAGAAAUUGAAAAACAGAAUACAAAAAAAAAUAGAGGUGAUUUUUUUUCUUGUAUUUUUUUAUUUUUUUAUCGAAUCUUUUAUAUAUAUAUAUAAGAUCAUAAAUAAAAAGAAAAGGAAAACACUUACCUAACGAUUCGCGUCCCACCUCCGAUGAAAGGUGGCUUUGUCGACAAAUUUUUUUCUUAAAACUUAAAAUCGAAGGAUUUCUUCGAGAUUUUUGCUAUUUGGUGGGUUUUUUGGAAAAAAAAAGAUAUCCGAUCUAGGCUCAGUGAACCAAAACAACCAAAAAGGUUUUUUUUUAAAAUUUUUUGGCCACUGUGGACGACGGAGCAUUCGCUGGUGACCGGUGGCCGUCACUGCGGAGCUCGGCGGCUCCCUUGGCUGGAUUCUAGGCUAUGCCUAGAGAGAAAACAGAGAAAAGAGGGGGUUUUUU
rnacentral:lncRNA from 1 species